CCGGAAGAGUCCCCCCCUUUUCCUAGUCUGACCGCUCCUCCCCUACUCCCUCAGGAUCGGUUUUGUUGAAAAAUCUUUUUUUUUUUUUUUUUUUUGCCCCAAAUCUUGCUGUGACUUGGGUCAACCCUCCAGGUCCUUUUUUUUUUUUUUUAAUUUUUUUGUUUCUCCUUCCCCUCCCACUUUUUUUUCUUUCUUUUUCUUUUUUUUCUCUUGUUUGUGUUGUGUGUGGAAAUGGCGAACUCGGCAAAUACAAACACCGUGCCUAAAUUAUAUAGAUCUGUGAUUGAAGAUGUUAUUAAUGAUGUGAGAGAUAUCUUCCUGGAUGAAGGAGUAGAUGAACAAAUCUUGAUGGAACUAAAAACUUUAUGGGAGAGUAAACUCAUGCAGUCCAGGGCAGUAGACGGAUUUCAUUCAGAAGAGCAGCAGCUCUUACUGCAAGUUCAGCAGCAGCAUCAAGCGCAGCCGCAGCACCACCACCACCACCAGCAGCAGCAGCAGGCUCAACCUCAGCAAACAGUACCUCAGCCCGCACAGGCCCCGCAGGUCCUUAUUCCUGCAUCACAGCAAGCCACAGCACCACAAGUUAUUGUCCCUGAUUCUAAGUUAAUACAGCAUAUGAAUGCAUCUAGCAUGAGUGCUGCUGCUACAACUGCUACCUUGGCCCUCCCUGCAGGGGUCACUCCUGUUCAGCAGAUCCUAACGAACUCAGGCCAGCUUCUUCAGGUGGUCCGAGCAGCUAAUGGUGCCCAGUAUAUCUUCCAGCCUCAGCAGUCGGUGGUUCUCCAGCAACAGGUCAUACCGCAGAUGCAGCCUGGCGGAGUCCAGGCUCCUGUUAUUCAGCAGGUCCUAGCCCCACUUCCUGGAGGGAUUUCUCCACAGACAGGUGUUAUCAUUCAGCCUCAGCAAAUCCUAUUUACAGGAAAUAAGACUCAAGUUAUACCUACAACAGUAGCAGCACCCACACCAGCCCAAGCACAGAUAACUGCAGCCGGUCAACAGCAGCCACAGGCCCAGCCUGCUCAGCAGCAAGCUCCUUUGGUGUUGCAAGUUGAUGGAACUGGGGAUACAUCAUCUGAAGAAGAUGAAGAUGAAGAAGAAGAUUAUGACGAUGAUGAAGAGGAAGAUAAAGAGAAAGAUGGAGCUGAAGAUGGGCAGGUGGAAGAAGAGCCCCUCAACAGUGAAGAUGAUGUAAGUGAUGAGGAAGGACAGGAGCUGUUUGACACAGAAAAUGUUGUGGUAUGCCAGUAUGACAAGGUGAACCCUGAACAAACACUUGUCAUGAACAUGCCAUAGAGAAUGCUGGCCCCAGGAGGUGAGGCCAUGGAGCUGUAGGAUUGGAGUCAGAGAAACUGAUACACAGAAGUAAAAAUAAGUGGAAAUUUCAUCUUAAGGAUGGCAUUAUGAAUCUUAAUGGAAGAGAUUACAUAUUUUCCAAAGCCAUUGGAGAUGCAGAAUGGUGAAGAGUGGCUUCUUUUCUUUUAUAAAUACAACAGAAGGACUUAAAAAAUUAAAGUGGACGGUUUGAAACUUGGGACAUACACCAACCAAAACUUCACUUCUGCAUGUCAGAAAGUGCAGUAGACUAAAGCUACUGGAACAAAGACAGACCUUGAUAACAUAGACACUACUCUGACUGGCCAGCCAUGGAACUGUAGCCCUGGGGUUGU